AUUGAACGCUGGCGGCAGGCCUAACACAUGCAAGUCGAGCGAGCGGCGGACGGGUGAGUAAUGUCUGGGAAACUGCCUGAUGGAGGGGGAUUACUCCUGGAAACGGUAGCUAAUACCGCAUACCAUCAGAUGUGCCCAGAUGGGAUUAGCUAGUAGGUGGGGUAACGACUCACCUAGGCGACGAUCCUUAUCUGGUCUGAGAGGAUGACCAGACACACUAGAACGAUGACGCGGUCCAGACGCCAAGGAUAGGGAGCAGGGGGGAAUAUUGGAUGAAGGGCGCAAGCCUGAUACAGCCAUGCGGCGUGUGUGAAGAAGGCCUUCGGAUUGUAAAGCACUUUCAGCGGGGAGGCGUUACCCGCAGAAGAAGAACCGUCUAACUCCGUGCCCGCAGCCGCGGUAAUAC
rnacentral:rRNA from 1 species